AUAACUAAAAAUUCAUGAAAACAUAUAAUCUCCAUAAUAAGGUUGGAGAGUUUCUACCGUCUUACCGUAAAUAAGCGUGGCAUAGUCCUUAGUUAUGUUGUCA
rnacentral:ncRNA from 2 species